AAUGAUUUCCCUAGUAACGGCGAGUGAAGAGGAAAGAGCUCAAAGUUGGAAACUGUUUGGCUUAGCUAAACCGUAUUGUAAACUGUAGAAACAUUUUCCUGGCACACCAGAUUAAUAAGUCCUUUGGAACAAGGCAUCAUGGAGGGUGAGAAUCCCGUCUUUGAUCUGAGUAGUUGUCUUUUGUGAUAUGUUUUCAAAGAGUCAGGUUGUUUGGGAAUGCAGCCUAAAUUGGGUGGUAAAUCUCACCUAAAGCUAAAUAUUUGCGAGAGACCGAUAGCGAACAAGUACCGUGAGGGAAAGAUGAAAAGAACUUUGAAAAGAGAGUUAAACAGUAUGUGAAAUUGUUAAAAGGGAACCGUUUGGAGCCAGACUGGUUUGCUUGUAAUCAACCUAGAAUUCGUUUUGGGUGCACUUGCAGGCUAUACCUGCCAACAACAGUUUGAUUUGGAGGAAAAAAUUAAUAGGAAUGUAGCCUCUCGAGGUGUUAUAGCCUAUUAUCAUACUCUGGAUUGGACUGAGGAACGCAGCGAAUGCCUUUAGGCAAGAUUGCUGGGUGCUUUCGCUAAUAAAUGUUAGAAUUUCUGCUUCGGGUGGUGCUAAUGUUUAAAGGAGGAACACAUCUAGUAUAUUUUUUAUUCGCUUAGG
rnacentral:rRNA from 2 species